CUGGAGUCUUUCUGCUGAGGCCAUUUCUCCUGUGACCAUGGGCUAAAGGGCACAGCCGCGUGCCCCCACAGCUGCUUCUGAAUUCUGAGCACAGGCCAGAGGAGGGGAAGGGCCGGAUGUUUGCAGAAGCAGAGCCGACCCUUGGGUAAAAAUGGGAAAACAAAAAGUGGUCAGGAUGGAUUCCAGAGUAGUUGGAGUUAUAGGGAAAUCUUCACUGCCAAUGUUCUCUAGAUCCUCAGCACUACGCCCUGGCCAGCCCCGAAGUCGUGGAGCCCCCCUCCUGCCCUGGGCUGGCCACCUCUCUCACUGGAUGAGUGAUGUGCUCUGGCUCAAAGGCUGAGGGGGCAGGUGGAGGAUGCCUGCCGCGGAACGUGGGUGCUCCCUCCAUCAGAAUCUUCUCACUGGGAGAGGAUCUGCGGCCGUCACCUGCAGCCCCGGUCCUGGCAGAGCUUUUGGAGAAAAUGAUGCAGAGUCUUGCUAUGUUGCCCAGACUGAUCUUGGACCCCUGAUCUCAAGCGAUCCUCCCACCUUGGCCUUCCAAAGUGCUGGUAUUAUAGGCAUGAGCCACUACACUUGGACCCAAACAGUGUGUCUUACACGUCCUGCAAUGUC
rnacentral:lncRNA from 1 species